UGUGUUGGGCCCACAUGUUUCACUGUUUGCUGGCUGAGGAGGUUUGGAGGAAAAUUGUUUUAAAUCGUUCUUCUUAAUAAGUCUGUGCUGACAUGGUGUUUUAUAGAGGGCCGCAUUAUUGAUGACGUUCUGGUGGUAGCGUUACCUGGGCGCCGCAGGGCUGCACCAGAUCUACUACAUCAAGGUUGACUUUAGAGUGCUGGUUUAUGCGAUGCAGUUUUAUCACUGCUUCCUGCUGUCCUUUUAGAAUUUGAUUUUCUCUUUUGUUAGUCCGCCCAGUUUGGAUUGUUUGUCUCCUUUUAGUGCUCGUCAGGGCGGGUUAACAACCUUCCAUUUAUUGUUUGUUCUGGGGUCACUUCCUGAAUACUUAUAUCCCAUGUCACUGUGAAUCCUAAAUAUCUGAGACCCGAUCCUGUUUGGUGUGGUCUUGAGUUUGGAUUGCAUUUGAUCGUUUUGCAGUGAAUCGAGUGCAUCUUAAGUUUGCAGUGAGCAUUGUAGUGAUUUGUGCGGGUUUGUCCGCCUGUAGUGGUGUUUAAAUUCAGGUUGAACAUCAUUGGAUUGACAACGAAUAAGUAAAAGUAACGAGGAACCCUCUUAUCUGUGUAACAAUAAAUGUUAACUUCCUUCUGGUUGUUUAUUGCCCUUUGGCUUGAUGGGUUCAUAACAUUCCUGAAACCGUUUAUUCAUUAUUAGUGAAUUUAAUCUUUUAUUAUAAUGGCAAUAAAAUCCUUUAAUGCCAUUUAUCUAUUUGUAAAUUCAUUCUAUUUGAUUUCUUGUGGUGUUUUAUUCUUCAAUGACCCUAACAGACAAUUCUGGGUAAAAAUAUGGAACACAAUCAGAAACUAAGCAGACUCCUACAGGUGGAAAUAAUGAUUUUUAUUCUGUUUUACAAAACCAAACCUGACAGUUUGUCAGUCAGAUUAAACUUCAGACAGACUCUUAGAAACAACAUUAAAAGGGUUUAAACCAGGCCAGUUUAUCUAGAAAACUAGACCAUCAGACUUGAUGGUCCCAGUUUGGAACACAAAUGUAUGUCUGGACCAGGGCUGUCAUGUGAGCUGAUGGACCAAUCAGUGUUGGAUACAGUCAGGUUAUCUGAGCAGAAUGGAAGACAUGAAACAUGAAGGUGUAACACUGACAUGCAAUAACAGUGAAAGACUUCAUCCCUGAGCUUAAAGAUGAAAACGUUUGGAUGUCUUCAUAAAGCACUCAAGAACUUCCGUCUUUGUGCAGAAGAAAGACAGAGAACUGCAGCUGAGUCAGCAGUUUGUCAGCUUCAGUAACUCUGCAGACCACAUCUGCUCGACUUCAUUUGGACAAUGUUGGGACCCCAACCAUGGGUUAUAAUAGUGACGUCAAAAUGAGGCUUUUUGAAGCAUAGAA